UGGUAAAAGUUAUUAAAACUCGGUGGAGA
rnacentral:piRNA from 1 species